UACGUAGGGGGCAAGCGUUGUCCGGAUUUAUUGGGCGUAAAGAGCGUGUAGGCGGCCAGACAGGUCCGUUGUGAAAACUUGAGGCUCAACCUCGAGACGCCGAUGGAAACCGUCUGGCUAGAGUCCGGAAGAGGAGAGUGGAAUUCCUGGUGUAGCGGUGAAAUUCGUAGAUAUCGGGAGGAACACCGGUGGCGAAGGCGGGCGACCUGGGACAAUACUGACGCUGAGGUGCGAAAGCGUGGGGAGCAAACAGG
rnacentral:rRNA from 1 species